rnacentral:rRNA from 1 species
UACGAAGGGGGCUAGCGUUGCUCGGAAUUACUGGGCGUAAAGGGCGCGUAGGCGGCACUGUUAGUCAGGCGUGAAAGUCCUGGGCUCAACCUGGGAACUGCGCUUGAUACGGCAGAGCUAGAGGAUGGAAGAGGGUCGCGGAAUUCCCAGUGUAGAGGUGAAAUUCGUAGAUAUUGGGAAGAACACCGGUGGCGAAGGCGGCAUCCUGGACCGGCAUUGACGCUGAGGCGCGAAAGCUAGGGGAGCAAACGGG